CAGAGACAGGUGAGGACAGGCAGAGACAGGUGAGGACAGAUAGAGACAGGUGAGGACAGGCAGAGACAGGUGAGGGCAGGCAGAGACAGGUGAGGACAGGCAGAGACAGGUGAGGACAGACAGAGACAGGUGAGGACAGAUAGAGACAGGUGAGGACAGAUAGACAGGUGAGGACAGGCAGAGACAGGUGAGGACAGAUAGACAGGUGAGGACAGGCAGAGACAGGUGAGGACAGAUAGAGACAGGUGAGGGCAGGCAGAGACAGGUGAGGACAGAUAGAGACAGGUGAGGGCAGGCAGAGACAGGUGAGGACAGAUAGACAGGUGAGGACAGAUAGAGACAGGUGAGGACAGGCAGAGACAGGUGAGGACAGAUAGAGACAGGUGAGGACAGGCAGAGACAGGUGAGGACAGAUAGAGACAGGUGAGGACAGGCAGAGACAGGUGAGGGCAGGCAGAGACAGGUGAGGACAGAUAGAGACAGGUGAGGACAGGCAGAGACAGGUGAGGGCAGGCAGAGACAGGUGAGGACAGGCAGAGACAGGUGAGGACAGACAGAGACAGGUGAGGACAGAUAGAGACAGGUGAGGACAGAUAGACAGGUGAGGACAGGCAGAGACAGGUGAGGACAGAUAGACAGGUGAGGACAGGCAGAGACAGGUGAGGACAGAUAGAGACAGGUGAGGACAGAUAGAGACAGGUGAGGGCAGGCAGAGACAGGUGAGGACAGAUAGAGACAGGUGAGGGCAGGCAGAGACAGGUGAGGACAGAUAGACAGGUGAGGACAGAUAGAGACAGGUGAGGACAGGCAGAGACAGGUGAGGACAGAUAGAGACAGGUGAGGACAGGCAGAGACAGGUGAGGACAGGACAGUGUCUCCUGUCAGAGACCUUGUUGGUGACGAGGGUCAAACCCAGGACUCUGAGUCCGCAGUGUUUCGCCACGGUGACUUCAGGGACCAUGGACAUUCCUGGACAGAC